AGAAUAACAAAAGGAAGGAAACGAAAUUUUAAACUGAUUUCCGCCAUUAAAAAAAUAACAUGAAACCUACAGUUCACGACACAUCGCAUAGGAAUUUAAAAUAAAUAUUAGGCCUAUAGGUUUAAUACAUAUUGCAUAGAAUAUAGAAAUUUAGAUCUAGUGUUCUGGUUAGUAGUUAUUUCAUGUUUAUUAGAAUAUAGUCUAGAAUCUAAUCAUACGGCUGCAUAAAAAGAAAGUUUGAAGGAAAUAGAAUAGGAAUCUAGAGAAGCGGAGUGUUUUCCGCACUCGAGAGGAAAGAGGUUGCAGGGACUAAUCUUUGCCAACAUACUGGAUUUCUGGUGAUGACAAUAGCAGCAGAUAGUAUGCGGCUCAGUUAAUACUAAAAACAAUUGAUUUUACUAAUUAGUGGACUAUGAGUGUGUGUUUGGCCAUCCAGAUUUCAUAACUACAACUGAUGUUCAAUUACAAGGGAUAUUAAUCAGUCUCCGUGGACUAUACACUGUGCCUAGUUUCAUCCUCAGAGACUGAUGUGUAAGCUUAAAGUAAAGACAUCAAAUCAAAGUAUCAGCCAUCAAGAG